rnacentral:misc_RNA from 1 species
GUGAAUCAUCAAAUUUUUGAACGCAAAUUGCACUCCCCGGUUUUCCGGGAGAGUAUGCCUUUUUGAGGGUCAGCCUAAACAAAAUCUACAUUUUUGCUGGUUUAUGUUUACUUUCGUCGGAGAUUGGUUAUCUUAAAUCUCGGUUUAAGCGCCUUAAAAAUUUUUUUUACGAUUCUAAGAAUGUUUCUAAGUUUUUUCUUGUACGUUUAAGGUAUCGAAUGACUUAUUAGAUGUGGCCGUCAUAUCGGACAGUGUCCAUAAUUUUUUUCGAUAACUGACCUCAGACAUGUA